UCUUAGAAAAUUGAUUAUUUAUUUUAAUCACUGUUUUGAUUUUUUGUAUUCCUGAGGUAUUGAUGGUUACGCUUAGAGGUAAGUAAAAAAUGCAGAAAAAUGUCAGUGAAAUUCUCCUGCAAUUUUUCCAAUUAAUUUAAUAAUUUUUGUUGUUUUUUUUGUUGUUUUGUUUUUGUAGUUUCCGUUUUUUCUUUUUUUUUUUGUUUCCACAGAUGCUGACCUGAGAAGUGCAAGCCUUGGAUUUCCACAAGCACAAAGAUAUGGACCAGAUGACAGGGAUUACUGCAGGACCAUCUGGAGGGUGCAACCCCUGACCCCACCCUCUACACCUGUCCAGACGACGAGGGCCGCCCGGGCCCGACCAGCACAGGGGAUGCUGUUGUUUCCAUUCACUUCUUCUGUGCUGGUGGGUUUGGGAUGCUCCUCACAGAUCUGCACAUCGGAAGUUGCCACCAACUCACUGCAUCUCGACUCAGAAGUCAAGUCAGUUAAGAAAUUGAGUCAGUUCAUUCUAGGAAAAAAAAGAUAAAUAAUAAAUACUGUGAAAUUUUUAA